rnacentral:rRNA from 1 species
UACAGAGGUCUCAAGCGUUGUUCGGAUUCAUUGGGCGUAAAGGGUGCGUAGGCGGCGCGGUAAGUCGGGUGUGAAAUCUCGGGGCUUAACUCCGAAACUGCAUUCGAUACUGCGGUGCUUGAGGACUGGAGAGGAGACUGGAAUUCAUGGUGUAGCAGUGAAAUGCGUAGAGAUCAUGAGGAAGACCAGUGGCGAAGGCGGGUCUCUGGACAGUGCCUGACACUGAGGCACGAAGGCCAGGGGAGCAAACGGG